CUAAAGACUAUUUUAAAUGUAUGUAAUACCUGCUCUAUUUUAAAGUUGCGAUUGCUAAGAGAAGAAGCAAUAAUGGCUAGGAACAAUGUCGCAAUUGCAAUGUUGAUGUUUGGAGUGAUAAUUUGUUCUGCUAUGUAUGAAUAUAAUUCAAUUGAGGGGCCUUUGAAAAUGUUCACAGAUUGUCAUAAUCAAUGUCGGAGAAAAUAUAUACAAAGUCGUGAGAAGUUCGAAGAAUGCUACAAGAAAUGUUGUAUCAUGAGCUGCCAAAAACACUAUUCAGGUCAACAUGAUAAGUUCAAUAUAUGGCCAUAGUACUAAUGAUUGUCGGAAACAAUGUCGUAGAAAAUAUAGACGAAGUCGUGAGAAGUUCAAAGAAUGCUAUAAGAAAUGUUGCAUCAUGGACUGCCAAAAAGCUUAUGUUAUGCAUUUUGGGCCUAGUAUUAAUGGUAACGAUUUAAGUUACUGUAAAGUGGCUAAGGCUUGUCCCAAUGGCAAAUAUAUUUGCCUCCUAAGAGUGCCAUAUAGGUUCGAAUUUCUUUUGAUGAAAAAGAGAGUAUUAAACUAUGAAUGGGUGUGUAUUUAAGUUAUUGUGAAUUUUU